rnacentral:rRNA from 1 species
AUUAGAGUUUGAUCAUGGCUCAGAACGAACGCUGGCGGCGUGCCUAACACAUGCAAGUCGAACGAGAAGUACGUAGCAAUACGUAUUGUAAAGUGGCGCACGGGUGAGUAACACGUGGGUAAUCUGCCCUUGAGUUUGGGAUAACCCCGCGAAAGCGGGGCUAAUACCGAAUAAGACCACGGGGACCAAAGUCCCUGAGGUAAAAGACGGCCUCUAUUUAUAAGCUGUCACUUGAGGAUGAGCCCGCGGCCCAUUAGCUAGUUGGCAGGGUAACGGCCUACCAAGGCGAUGAUGGGUAGCUGGUCUGAGAGGACGAUCAGCCACACUGGAACUGAGACACGGUCCAGACUCCUACGGGAGGCAGCAGUGGGGAAUAUUGCGCAAUGGGCGAAAGCCUGACGCAGCAACGCCGCGUGGGGGAUGAAGGUUCUCGGAUUGUAAACCCCUUUCGAUCGGAACGAAUCUCCUCCUGGUAAAUAAUCAGGAGGAUCGACGGUACCGGGAGAAGAAGCCACGGCUAACUCUGUGCCAGCAGCCGCGGUAAGACAGAGGUGGCGAGCGUUGUUCGGAUUUAUUGGGCGUAAAGCGAACGCAGGUGGUUUGGUAAGUCAGAGGUGAAAGACCACAGCUUAACUGUGGCACUGCCUUUGAUACUGCCUUUCUAGAGUGCAUGAGGGGGAAGCGGAAUUCCGAGUGUAGAGGUGAAAUUCGUAGAUAUUCGGAGGAACACCGGUGGCGAAAACGGCUUCCUGGCAUGUAACUGACACUCAUGUUCGAAAGCGUGGGUAGCAAACAGGAUUAGAUACCCUGGUAGUCCACGCCCUAAACGAUGGGCACUAGGUGUGGGAGGUAUCGACCCCUUCCGUGCCGCAGCUAACGCAUUAAGUGCCCCGCCUGGGGAGUACGGCCGCAAGGUUGAAACUCAAAGGAAUUGACGGGGGCCCGCACAAGCGGUGGUGCAUGUGGGUUUAAUUCGACGCAACGCGAAGAACCCUUACCUAGGCUUGACAUCCCUGGAACCUCCCGGGAAACCGGGGGGGGUGCUCCGCAAAGAGA